rnacentral:rRNA from 1 species
UCGAUGGAGAGUUUGAUCCUGGCUCAGGACGAACGCUGGCGGCGUGCUUAACACAUGCAAGUCGAGCGGAAAGGCCUUUCGGGGUACUCGAGCGGCGAACGGGUGAGUAACACGUGAG